CCUACGGGAGACAGCAGUGGGGAAUAUUGCACAAUGGGGGAAACCCUGAUGCAGCGACGCCGCGUGAGUGAAGAAGUAUUUCGGUAUGUAAAGCUCUAUCAGCAGGGGAGAAAAGGACGGUACCUGAGUAAGAAGCCCCGGCUAACUACGUGCCAGCAGCCGCGGUAAUACGUAGGGGGCAAGCGUUAUCCGGAUUUACUGGGUGUAAAGGGAGCGUAGACGGCAGCACAAGUCUGGAGUGAAAUGCCGGGGCUUAACCCCGGAACUGCGUUGGAAACUGGGCAGCUGGAGUGCAGGAGAGGUAAGUGGAAUUCCUAGUGUAGCGGUGAAAUGCGUAGAUAUUAGGAGGAACACCAGUGGCGAAGGCGGCUUACUAGACUGUAACUGACGUUGAGGCUCGAAAGCGUGGGGAGCAAACAGGAUUAGAUACCCCAGUAGUC
rnacentral:rRNA from 1 species